UACUGUACAUAUUAUAUUUAAUUAUUGAUACAUAAAAUCCUACUUAGUAUUUACAUAAAACGGCUACUUAUAAUUGCUAUAUACAAUGAAAAUUAAAAACUACGAAUGAACUUAAAUCUAAUGAAAUUAAAAUAAAAUGAAUCCAAAUAUUAAACAAAUAUCGAAAAUAAAAAUACGGAAAGCAUCUUUCCCAUCCCUAUUCCUAUCCCGCUUCACACCCGUAACUACCGUAACGUAGCACUGACAUCUACGCUGUCAAGCGUCAAUCGAUGACCACUUUCGGCAGCGUUCACCAACACAAGCCCAAAAAAAAAGAGCAAAAAGGAGCGGAACGACGCGGGAUGAGCUCUCUAUUAGAAACCACCGAAAAAAGAAAGUGCUUGAUCAGCCCGCCGCGAGAAGAACUGCAUUCGGGUCUAAAAGUGAAAGAUACCAUCAGCGUAAGAAAAGUGUGCCAAUUAUCAUCGAGUGAACCUCUUGCGUCCAGUUUCUACCGGAGUGCUAUUGCCCUGUGGCCCGGUUCGGCGAUCACCGUUGUCGUUUAGUGCAGUAUUGGCUCGGAACGAGGCCAUUUUGCAGGGGUGAUACCGUGCCCGUUUACGGAGAACCAUAUUCCUUUGUCUCGGCAGCGGGUGGAAGCCAUUUUGUGAAUGUGAAUUCGCUAGAAGAGUGACCCGAAAAAAAGCAUACUGAAUCCAGCGGUGUUGCGGACGUGCUGUACAACUACAAUAAGCUGAAGGGAAGAUCACAACCGAAAAGCAAUCCGAGGGAGGUGUGAUUAGAGCGUGGACCUGACCAGAAGUUCCUAACUAUUCGGACCGACGAACGAACCUGGGUAUCCGAGACCAUCCGUUGGAGAACGAGUUCGCCGAAUCCAAACAGCCGAAGGAUGAAGAGGCCAAUCCCCGGCGGCCUGGUGUGUCAACAUGCCGAGAUCGCAUUGACCAACGUAAACCAAGGCGAUGAUAUGGUAUGUGAGCAAAUUCCUAUUUUCAAUUCCUCAUCGUAAGACUUCCAUUUUCCAUUCCAAAGAGAAUGUUAAUAAUAUCAUGAGAAUAACUUGAAUAUAACUAUAAAAUGUAAAAUCAGA